GGUGAGUAAUACGUGAGUAACCUGCCCUUGACUCUGGGAUAAGCCUGGGAAACUGGGUCUAAUACUGGAUACUACCUCUUACCGCAUGGUGGGUGGUGGAAAGGGUUUUACUGGUUUUGGAUGGGCUCACGGCCUAUCAGCUUGUUGGUGGGGUAAUGGCUCACCAAGGCGACGACGGGUAGCCGGCCUGAGAGGGUGACCGGCCACACUGGGACUGAGACACGGCCCAGACUCCUACGGGAGGCAGCAGUGGGGAAUAUUGCACAAUGGGCGGAAGCCUGAUGCAGCGACGCCGCGUGAGGGAUGACGGCCUUCGGGUUGUAAACCUCUUUCAGUAGGGAAGAAGCGAGAGUGACGGUACCUGCAGAAGAAGCGCCGGCUAACUACGUGCCAGCAGCCGCGGUAAUACGUAGGGCGCAAGCGUUGUCCGGAAUUAUUGGGCGUAAAGAGCUCGUAGGCGGUUUGUCGCGUCUGCUGUGAAAGCCCGGGGCUCAACCCCGGGUCUGCAGUGGGUACGGGCAGACUAGAGUGCAGUAGGGGAGACUGGAAUUCCUGGUGUAGCGGUGAAAUGCGC
rnacentral:rRNA from 1 species